UGUUACAGAAGGAAAGGACGAGGCUUGGAAAACAUAUCCGGACGUAACCAAUGAAUAUCCGUAAUUUUCGUGUAAAGAAAAGAAGAGAGGAAAAAAGAAAGAAGAAAAAAAAAGAAUAUAUUGGUACUCGAGAAGCGAAAGGAAAUAUCUAUGGUCCGGUCACAUCAGGUUGCAUAAUGCGAACCCUCUAUAGUUGUUUACUUAGGGCGAAAUGUGUUUUCUAAAGGAAAGAAAAUUGAUCUAAUCUCAAAGGAAUAUGGAUAUAUUUCUUUCCUGAGAAAAUACAAAUUUAGACACAAGAACAAGUGACCGGAUGGACAUUGAGAGGGUAAAAGCAGAUACUGUACCACAUGACGCCUCGUGUGAAAUUUUUCAGUGUCCGAUUGAUCGAAUGUAGAUACUAUUUUCAAAAUCAGGAACAUCCCUCGAUUUUAAUUCGAGCAUUUGCCGAAGAUCGUUUAUUGCUUCCAUCCUUAAGUGGUCAAAUGUAAAUAAUAUCGAAUGACAAUGUACAGA